rnacentral:rRNA from 1 species
CCUACGGGCGGCAGCAGUGAGGAAUAUUGGUCAAUGGCCGCGAGGCUGAACCAGCCAAGUCGCGUGAGGGAUGACGGUCCUAUGGGUUGUAAACCUCUUUUGUCAGGGAGCAAAGGGCGCCACGUGUGGCGCUUUGCGAGUACCUGAAGAAAAAGCAUCGGCUAACUCCGUGCCAGCAGCCGCGGUAAUACGGAGGAUGCGAGCGUUAUCCGGAUUUAUUGGGUUUAAAGGGUGCGCAGGCGGAAGGGCAAGUCAGCGGUAAAAUUUCGGGGCUCAACCCCGUCGUGCCGUUGAAACUGGCGUUCUUGAGUGAGCGAGAAGUAUGCGGAAUGCGUGGUGUAGCGGUGAAAUGCAUAGAUAUCACGCAGAACUCCGAUUGCGAAGGCAGCAUACCGGCGCUCAACUGACGCUCAUGCACGAAAGCGUGGGUAUCGAACAGGAUUAGAUACCCUAGUAGUC